UACGUAGGGGGCUAGCGUUGUCCGGAAUCAUUGGGCGUAAAGAGCGUGUAGGCGGUCCGGUAAGUCCGCUGUGAAAGUCGGGGGCUCAACCCUCGAAUGCCGGUGGAUACUGUCGGGCUAGAGUGCGGAAGAGGCGAGUGGAAUUCCUGGUGUAGCGGUGAAAUGCGCAGAUAUCAGGAGGAACACCUAUUGCGAAGGCAGCUCGCUGGGACGUAACUGACGCUGAGACGCGAAAGCGUGGGGAGCAAACAGG
rnacentral:rRNA from 2 species